rnacentral:rRNA from 1 species
CGCGUAGGCGGUUUUUUAAGUGAGAUGUGCAAUCCCCGAGCUUAACUUGGGAACUGCAUCUCAGACUGGAAGGCUAGAGUGCUGGAGAGGGUGGUAGAAUUCCACGUGUAGCGGUGAAAUGCGUAGAGAUGUGGAGGAAUACCAGUGGCGAAGGCGGCCACCUGGACAGUAACUGACGCUGAGGCGCGAAAGUGUGGGUAGCAAACAGGAUUAGAUACCCUGGUAGUCCACGCUGUAAACGAUGAACACUUGGUGUGGCGGGAGUUGACCCCUGCCGUGCCGUAGCUAACGCGAUAAGUGUUCCGCCUGGGGACGUACGGUCGCAAGGCUGAA